rnacentral:lncRNA from 1 species
UAUGAUUCCAAGACCAUUGUAUUUUCUUCAGAAGGCCACUUCUACCAAGUUGAAUACACCAGGGAAUCAUCAAACACACAGGCAUCUUUUGGAGAAUUUUAGCAAACACUGGUGUUUUGCUUGCAACAGACAGAUAUAGCAUCCACAAGCCUCUUGAUAAAAUCUUUUAUUAAAAAAUUAUGAACUCAGUGAGGAAAUGGCUUGCAGUAUAUAUGAAACAAUAAUGUUCGGACUAGUAAACUAAAGCUCAUUACUCAGAGUUAUUUAUUAUAGUAUUAAGAGCCAACUCCUGUGAGCAGUUGGUUAUAGCAUUGUGUAAUAUCAAACAAGCAUAUAUGCAGUUUGGAGGGAAAAUUCCCAUUGAUGUUUCAUUGCUAUGCACAAGCUGGAAUAAGGACUGUGGCUUUCAGGUCU